rnacentral:rRNA from 1 species
UACGUAGGUGGCAAGCGUUGUCCGGAAUUACUGGGUGUAAAGGGAGCGUAGGCGGGUGUUUAAGUUGAAUGUUUAAACUAUCGGCUCAACCGGUAGUCGCGUUCAAAACUGAGCAUCUUGAGUGAAGUAGAGGCAGGCGGUAUUCCUAGUGUAGCGGUGAAAUGCGUAGAUAUUAGGAGGAACACCAGUGGCGAAGGCGGCCUGCUGGGCUUUUACUGACGCUGAGGCUCGAAAGCAUGGGGAGCAAACAGG